rnacentral:rRNA from 1 species
UCGCCCGCCGCGCGCGGCGGGCGGGGCGGGGGCACGGGGGGCCUACGGGAGGCAGCAGUAGGGAAUAUUGGUCAAUGGGCGCAAGCCUGAACCAGCCAUCCCGCGUGCAGGAAGACGGCCCUAUGGGUUGUAAACUGCUUUUCCAGGGAGAGAAACUCUCGUACGUGUACGGGAUUGACGGUACCCUGGGAAUAAGCAUCGGCUAACUCCGUGCCAGCAGCCGCGGUAAGA